UUUCUGACUCUUGGCCGGUGGUGAUCAGCAGGACAAAUGGCGGCAAUUUGGCGUUAUCCUGGUUUGUUCCUCCUGACACAACAAUGACUAAUAUCACUGAUCCAUCAGUCCACCUGCAAAAAAGACCUGAAGUCACUAUCUAUGUCAGGGUCUAUCAUUGCACUCCAAGCAUCGAGACUGGUGAAGAAAAUGCAAAGAAGCUUUGUGAUGCCUUGAACAACGCUGAGAAAACCUGCACUGAUUCCCAGACUUACAAUGGGACUUUUUAUGACCCCUAUGUAUCUCUUACUCACCAUAAUGAGAUCUGGAUGGUCAAACCCCAGUAAACUGUACAUGAUAUAAUCUCUGUAGUAACUCUGUACUCAUCAUCUAAAUCAAAAGCUUCACUUUUGUGAUAGAAAGCCAAGUAAAUGUAGCCGAAUCACAGACACAUAUUGCACGAACUGAUUCAGUAUUGUACCACACUGCAGUUGCUGAGAUGAACAGACAUAUUGUACAUUAGGUAGCCAGCAGACACAUGUGCUCGGAUGUCACAAGUUGUUCCCUCCUAUCUGUCUGAAUCGAAAGUUCAUUACAGUUCAGCCCUGCAGGAACUCUCUGCCAAAAGUAAAAGCCACCUAAUUGAACACAGACACAUCUCCCAUUACACUUCCUCCUUCCUAAGUUAGACUUCAUUUUUUAGAUGUGUGUAUAUUGCGAGCAAUGCUAUGUAUUGCUGGUUCUGGUUAAAAAGUAAUAUCCAUGUCUGGGUUAAAAAUAUGGCAGUUUAUGUAUACAGAAUUUAAAUAAAAUAGAUACAUUUUGAGAGGUAAACUAUUUAAUCUUUGUUUAAGAUGUGAUGUUGAGUGAAUGAAUUGAUCUCAUGUAUUUAGUUUUCAACACUAUAGUAAGGCUACAUUAAUUAUCAUGAAUUCAUUCAUGACUAAAUGCACGAGAAAUCAAUGAUUAGUUAACAUAGUACUUCAUGAACUAUAAGGAAUGUACAAUAAUUAACAGUGUCUCAUGCAUGACUUAAUGCAACAACUGAGGUUUCUCAUUCAUCGUGAUUUCUGCGUUAUUAAUGAUGUUCAUGUCUUCUUCAUAUAAAUCUGCAGUUAAAGGGAAAUAAUCUGACACAGCAGUGCACAUCCAUUCACGUUUUGUAAUCCUGA
rnacentral:lncRNA from 1 species